ensembl:lncRNA
CUGUACUGUAUGUAAAUCUGUUUAUUGCAAGAAGACCCCUGGGAGCAAAAUAUGACCAAAUCCCUCUAAAAAGACAGAGUACUGAGAGACCACUAUACCCAAAGGCCCUCACGAAAGAAAAUGAGGAUUUACAAACAAUUUCAAAGACAUGACGGUAAAAUUACAUUGGUUCUUGUUGAAAACUAUUAGCGAAGUAGGCCUAUAUUCUAAAUACUGUAUUUUUGCAAUAAAUCUGCUCACCAUCAGUUAUAAUUUAAACAUUAUAGUUUACAAUAGCCUAUAUUCCCUUCUGAUAUGUACAGUAUAACAACAUAAUCAAAACAGUGCCUUAUGAUCAAGAGAUACAUUAAUUAAAAUGCACACACACAAAAAGAACUUCACUUACUAUAGAGACAUGCAGACUAACAGAAAUGUUCUAUCCCUUUUAAAAGUAUGCAAAUGGUCUUCUAUGUGCCAAAAUCCAUACUCUUAUUGUCUUCCUACCCCCACUGAAAAUGUACAAAUACUUAUACAACCCACUUGGUGUUUUAGGGCCAUUCAUGUGGCGACAAAGCAUCAGUCAGAUAGUGGAUGGGCCCUUUAAGCUGGUGAAAAGUAAGCCAUAGAAAUUCUGUAUGAUUCUCUUCAGAAUCUGUAUCUCUAUCUUCACUUUGGGUUUAAACACACGCUGUGGAUAAAAAGCAUGAAUACAAAGUGGCAAUAGUUUUGCUGGCAAAAUGUGUUACUGUUUUGGCUCAAACACAAGCAGGAUAGCAUGUUCCCUAAUGUCGUUGAGUUGAGGCCUUAACUAAACACAUAAACCUGCAUUCCCAAGACGUGUAAGAGUAGGAUUACUGGUCCAGAAUCAGCAGUCCAGUCUUAGAUCAUAACGUGAAUUCAAUUAUACUGAUAGCUGUGACCUGAUCCUAAAUCAUUACUCUUACCUGGUAUUUGACAAGUUAAACAAGCACUGUGUUAGGAAUAGAGACUGCAUGUUGUGUGAGUGUAAAAGGUUCGCCGUAUAAUAACUGCCACCAUAAUUACUAAGAAAUAUCAAAUCUAGCUAAAUGGCUUUGAAAUUAAACUUAUUUUAAUGCCCUCUGGUGGCAAAACCAGGCUAGUUAGUGUUCUGAUUACUGCACCUGUAAAACUGCUCAUUUUUACAAUAUACAAAUGCUGCAAUAUAUACUAUAUUUGUUAUCAGAGCUAUAGAAAACAUAUACAUUAUAAAGUUAUAUAUUCUUAAAUAUAAACAACAUUAAGUCAGUUUUCCAGUAGUUUGAUUAUAU